AUGCCAGAUCUCAUACCCCUUUUCUGUGGGCCAACAUGGCAAACAAAAAUGUUGCUUAGUAUAGGCACAAGGUUAUCAAGUCCUAGGGAUUCAAUCAUGCUUGUCUUCUCGAAGGACCAUGCCACUGGAACAGGAGCUAGAAAAGCUGCUGAAAGUGUAGCCAAAAUGGUUGCAGAGAAUGCCAACAACAUAAAAAAUGAGCCUACUACAACUUCUUCAACUAAAACCGGUGAGAAAAAGAAAUGGAGAGGAUAUCAAUCAGAUGACUCAGUUGCAUCUAUGCUUGGUGAAAACCUGGAUAACUUCACUAGCGACUACAAAGCUAAUAUUGCUCUGGUUGCUCUUCUCGAGAAACCCUCCUCUCCCGAAGAUAUACUUGUCGUGCUCAAUGCAGUUGCGAGGCUAGACAAUGAUGGUUUUUAG
rnacentral:rRNA from 1 species